UAUGUGGUCUCUUCUUUUCGCGUGUGUUGCAUUCCGUUGGAUCUCGUGGUUUUCUCUCUGUUGCUUGCGGGGUUGUCGAGUUGAAGUGGCGGGUUUAGGUUUGUGUGCUCUUCAGUAGUCGGAGGUGAGUUUCGUAUGUCGUUAUCACGCUAGGUUUUUGCCAUGCUCUCUCGCAAAAAUCCGUAUAACGAGCUUUGUGCUCGCUGUGUGUUGCUCGUUCGAGUCUCGUGCACGAGCUGCUUCUGCAGCGUUGGUUAUAUUAUCAUCAACUUUGAUGGUGCGUGUAUAUGUGUGUGUAUAUAUAUAUAUAUAUGUCUUUACUUUCGUCAUGGUUCAAGUUAGGUACGAAGCACAAUUCUCAUGCAAGCCGUGUAGGUUUUAGGCCAUUGCUUACGUUUAUUUUCAGUGUCACUCAUUGGUGAGGCUUUUGUAUCAUAUUCCAGCUUAUUUUUUAGGUUCAGAACUAGAGCGAUUGGCUCCUCGGUAGUGUUUUUCUACGGUAAAUCCCUGUAAUAGUAUCUAUCGUUGCGUUAUUUUUUUGAAUCUUGAAUGCUUUCGAGAAAUUUCAAGUGUUUUAAGGUGCUGUUGGAUUACGUAUUCUGCGAAUUUCUCAAUUACUGUUGCCCUGAAUUCUUGUCAAGCAAUUUUCUACACUAUAGAUUGAAUAGCCAUAGCCGAGUUCUGAGGUUGUCGUUUUCAAUCAAUUUCUGUUUCCAAUUUCCAACUGGACUCAAUAUAGAUUAUAUUGUUAAUCACUAGGCUUACCCAGCUCUGAUGCGAAGUUACUCAUGUUUAAUUUGUUCGAAUCUGUCUUCAACCUCGUGUCCUUUCUCGUGCUUAUUUCUCAGUUUGCUUCUUUUUCAAUUCAUAAAGUAUGAGGUUACAUUACAAUUUGGUUUUUAACAUGCUCAUGUAAGUUGUAGAACAGAAUCUUGAUUAUGGUGGACAUGUUACUCUGUUAUAUGUCAGGAAC
rnacentral:lncRNA from 1 species